rnacentral:rRNA from 1 species
AGACCCGAAACCCGGUGAUCUAGCCAUGGGCAGGUUGAAGGUUGGGUAACACUAACUGGAGGACCGAACCGACUAAUGUUGAAAAAUUAGCGGAUGACCUGUGGCUGGGGGUGAAAGGCCAAUCAAACCGGGAGAUAGCUGGUUCUCCCCGAAAGCUAUUUAGGUAGCGCCUCGUGAAUUCAUCUCCGGGGGUAGAGCACUGUUUCGGCUAGGGGGCCAUCCCGGCUUACCAACCCGAUGCAAACUGCGAAUACCGGAGAAUGUUAUCACGGGAGACACACGGCGGGUGCUAACGUCCGUCGUGAAGAGGGAAACAACCCAGACCGCCAGCUAAGGUCCCAAAGUCAUGGUUAAGUGGGAAACGAUGUGGGAAGGCCCAGACAGCCAGGAUGUUGGCUUAGAAGCAGCCAUCAUUUAAAGAAAGCGUAAUAGCUCACUGGUCGAGUCGGCCUGCGCGGAAGAUGUAACGGGGCUAAACCAUGCACCGAAGCUGCGGCAGCGAACGUAUCACUUAAAGCGAUUCAGCGGGUUACGAUUGACGGAGCGAAGCGACGUCAAAGCGUAUACAAAGUCGAGUCGGUUUAAGGAUACGUUCGUUGGGUAGGGGAGCGUUCUGUAAGCCUGUGAAGGUGUGUCGUGAGGCAUGCUGGAG